rnacentral:rRNA from 1 species
AGUGAACGCUGGCGGUAGGCCUAACACAUGCAAGUCGAACGGCAGCACGGGAGAGCUUGCUCUCCGGGUGGCGAGUGGCGGACGGGUGAGGAAUACAUCGGAAUCUACUCUGUCGUGGGGGAUAACGUAGGGAAACUUACGCUAAUACCGCAUACGACCUACGGGUGAAAGCAGGGGACCUUCGGGCCUUGCGCGAUGGAAUGAGCCGAUGGCGGAUUAGAUAGUUGGCGGGGUAAAGGGCCACUAAGGCGACGAUCCGUAGCUGGUCUGAGAAGAUGGUCAGCCAAACUGGAACUGAGACACGGUCCAGACUCCUACGGGAGGCAGCAGUGGGGAAUAUUGGACAAUGGGCGCAAGCCGGAUCCAGCCAUACCGCGUGGGUGAAGAAGGCCUUCGGGUUGUAAAGCCCUUUUGUUGGGAAAGAAAUCCAGCUGGCUAAUACCCGGUUGGGAUGACGGUACCCAAAGAAUAAGCACCGGCUAACUUCGUGCCAGCAGCCGCGGUAA